rnacentral:rRNA from 1 species
CACGUAGGGCGCAAGCGUUGUCCGGAAUUAUUGGGCGUAAAGAGCUCGUAGGCGGUCUGUUGCGUCCGCUGUGAAAACUCGGGGCUUAACCCCGAGCCUGCAGUGGAUACGGGCAGACUAGAGGUAGGUAGGGGAGAAUGGAAUUCCCGGUGUAGCGGUGAAAUGCGCAGAUAUCGGGAGGAACACCGGUGGCGAAGGCGGUUCUGGGCCUUACCUGACGCUGAGGAGCGAAAGCGUGGGGAGCGAACAGG